GUUUAUGAAACCAAAGAUACAUAUUGGUAUUUGAUGGAGAAACGAAAGAGGGAAGGAAGAGUUUGCGACUGCAACGCUCCACCCACCGAUCUCGCCGGAGAACGAUCAAGCAUCAAACUUCUUUUUGCUUCGACAGAAUGUUAUGGCAGUCUUUGAUGCGGCCAUAAAAGUGGUGCUCCAGCCACCCAAGCAAAA